GCCUCCCAGUAUGCGCACCCUUUUGUAGUCCCCUUCCACAUCGAAUACAGCUGGCCUUUGCAACCAAUAGGAUAUUACAGAAAUGACAGUUGUGGUUUCUGAGGUAAAGUGGUAAAGGACACUGAGGCUCUGUCGACUCUUUUAUGGGUCUCUCAAGAAAGUGGGGACACUCAAGUAGCACAGAGGCAGAGAAACUAGGCCACCGGCCACUCGCCAGCACCAACUUGCCAGCCAUGUGAGUUAGCCUGGAAGGCUGGAGAUCCUCCAGAUCUUGUCAAGUCUUCAGGUGACAGCAGCCCCCAGGCGACAUCAUAACUGGGAUUCUACGAGACUCUAGGACACCAUUGGAAACAUUGGCCAUUUUACCAAGGCUUUGACUGGAAUGUUAUAUUCGAGAGACAUAUAUGUAUAAACUCAGAUAUGACCACACAGCUUUAAGGAACUGAAGUUGACUUCCUGAAGUAUGAAGCCGAGAGCCCCUUGGAAAUGCUGGCCGGAUACCUUGCUCACAGUGUUCCCAGCAGCCUUACCAGCUUAUACUGGCAAUUCCUCCUUACAAGGGGCCAUUCAGAAUGAUCAUCAGAGAUAUUUGAAUCACAAACCAGAAAAACCCAUCUGACACCUGAGGGCUGUUCCCGCCCCGUGUGAGCCUGGCAUCUAAAACUCUUCUCACUGGCAGCACUGGAGACUCAGACGCUGGGGAACAGCCCGUCACGAAAGGCACAAGAGAAGAAAUCGAGGCUCAUGGAAGUCAGUUAAUUUUCCCCAAUUCUUGCAGUGGGUGAGUGGCAGAGCCAGAAUUUUGUAUCAGGUUUGUGGGCUGUGAAACCCACAUUCUUUCUACCACAUCACGUGGUCUAGUAAAAUUAAUGUUUUACUGAAAAUACUCUACAACUGGUCCUGACCAGA